CUUAUUUUCCAUAAUAACAAAAAUGAUUAUUUCAAUGAACAAGUUAUCUGUUCAAAUUAUGAAAUAUAAAAACAAAAAUUGAAGAAAUACAAAAUACCUCAUAACUUCACAUACCUGCAUAGUUAAUUUUUUUUAGCGUAGGAUCCCAUUUCAGAGAGGAAAAGGAUAAAUGAAAAAUAUUGAAACACAAAAAUCGAAGG
rnacentral:lncRNA from 1 species